rnacentral:rRNA from 1 species
AACGAACGCUGGCGGCAUGCCUAACACAUGCAAGUCGAACGAGACCUUCGGGUCUAGUGGCGCACGGGUGCGUAACGCGUGGGAAUCUGCCCUUGGGUCUGGAAUAACAGUGAGAAAUGACUGCUAAUACCGGAUGAUGACUUCGGUCCAAAGAUUUAUCGCCCAGGGAUGGGCCCGCGUCGGAUUAGCUAGUUGGUGAGGUAAAAGCUCACCAAGGCGACGAUCCGUAGCUGGUCUGAGAGGAUGAUCAGCCACACUGGGACUGAGACACGGCCCAGACUCCUACGGGAGGCAGCAGUGGGGAAUAUUGGACAAUGGGCGAAAGCCUGAUCCAGCAAUGCCGCGUGAGUGACGAAGGCCUUAGGGUUGUAAAGCUCUUUUACCCGGGAUGAUAAUGACAGUACCGGGAGAAUAAGCCCCGGCUAACUCCGUGCCAGCCGCCGCCGUAAGAC